GGUGAGGGGAGGAGGAGGAGGAUGGGGUGGAGGUGAGGGGUGGAGGUGGGGGAGGAGGAGGAGGGUGGAGGUGAGGGGUGGAGGUGAGGGGAGGAGGAGGAGGAUGGGGUGGAGGUGAGGGGAGGAGGAGGAGGAUGGGGUGGAGGAGAUGAGAUCAUUGUUGGCUGGCCGUCGUUCCAUCAGACCUGGAAGGGAACCGUCACAUCAUUAAAGCCAACAGGAAAUGACCUUUCUACAGUCGUAUACUGCUCAGCACGGCCUCCCACGCCGUGUCGGGUGGUAAAACAAUCAGCUAACGAGUUAUUCUAGCAGCCAAUCAGAGUAACCAACUGGAAUGUCUUCCUGAGUAUCGGUUUCACCCGGAGGUCGUUACAGACGAGUGGAGCUCAGACUGCGGUAAACAUCGGCUAAAUCAAAGCUGAUCAGCGCUGUGGUACCGCUGAGGAGCGCUCAGAGCUGUUUAACUUUGAGAGAACGGCGAGCGGUCUACCGCAGGACGUGUUCUGAGGUUCUCCGUGGUGACAGCGGGUCUCUGUCAGCGGUCUGCCGCUACGCUGAGGAGGAGAAGAAGUGCCUGGUCCUCAGGAGAUCUUUCUCAGCACCUGAACUAACCUAACCUCUAACCUCUAACCCUAGAUUGUUGGUAUUUGCACUUGGUUCUAUGAACAUCCUCACUGUACCGACAGCGAUAUAUUGUUUCACUUCUUAUGACAAAUGUACUUAUUGUAAGACGCUUUGGAUAAAAGCGUCUGGUUAAUGCCCUAAAUGUAAAUGUAAUCUUUACUCGGUGAGCUUAUGCCUGAUCGUAGCGUUCAGAAAGAUGAGCUCAGGGCAGCGGACUCUAGCGCUGGGAUUUUGCAGGAUUAUUACGUUGACAUUUACAUUAAGGGCAUUUAGCCGUCGACUUACAAUUAGUACAUUUGUCAGAGGAAAAAUUAUUGAUUGAACCCUUAGCCACGAUCCCUGACCCGGGGGGUUAUCAACGUCCUGUGAAAGCAAAGUGAGACAAGGUCUUCAUGAUCGGCCCAGACACACACGACCUCACCAGGAACCUGAGACCGUUCCAGUGUAGCCCCUGACACACAUCACGCAUCAGGGAGAGCUUCAGACUGACCCCGCUACGCAGGACUGAAGAGACCCUCGUUAAAACUCCCGAAUAAUGACAGGAAAUCUCAGGUUAACAUCGUGUGGCCUUCUCCGUGACAGCUCAGUGCCCCAACAGGUGAUACUCUGGUUCCCACACUCAGGACCACAGGAGAGUCUACCAUCUCAUCACACCAGGGGGAGCGGUUAUUGCACAGAAUAGCACCCUAUGUAACACACACACACACACAUGUACACGUACACGUACACACACGUACACGUGUAUCCCCCCGGGAAUACAGCACAGCGCUAGGGGGGAGGGGAGUUUACUGCCGUCUAAUCUGUGAGCAGGGGGAUCUUUCAUCAGAAGACAGUGUUGUUGUGUUUGUGUGUUUUGGAUUAGCUUCCAUCCUCAUUCAGAUUCCACGCACACUCCUGGGAUUCUGUUUCUAGGAAAUUACCUUUUCCCACUUCGACUUUCUGAAGGUAAAACACAGUACGCACAACAGUUACUUAAUGGGGGCUGCCCAGUUCAACCAUAGUCUGCUACUGGUUCUACUGGGACCUGACCAAUACAACCGCAGUCUGCUACUGGUUCUACUGGGAGCUGACCAAUACAACCGCAGUCUGCUACUGGUUCUACUGGGAGUUGACCAGUUCAACCGCAGUCUGCUACUGGUUCUACUGGGAGCUUACCAGUUCAACCGCAGUCUGGUACUGAUUCUACUGGGAGAUUACCAGUUCAACCGCAGUCUGCUACUGGUUCUACUGGGAGCUUACCAGUUCAACCACAGUCUGCUACUGGUUCUACUGGGAGCUUACCAGUUCAAUCGCAGUCUGCUACUGGUUCUACUGGGAGCUGCCCAGUACAGACCCCUUCUGUAUCUUAUUACUUGAUGGUUUCUACGUUGAGUCUUGGUCCUCCAGAGGUUCCAUGGGGGACCCUGAGGCUCUCUCACCUGGUGCUGUGAUGGUCCAGGGUCCCGUCCUCCUACCCGGUCAUUCCGCUGAGUGCACGGCCUCCAGCCUCCCUCCUG
ensembl:lncRNA